AAUAGAUACCCGGGUAGUCCUAGCCGUAAACGAUGCGUAUUUGGUGUAGAUGGUCUCAACCCCAUUUGUGCCGUAGCUAACGCGUUAAAUACACCGCCUGGGGAGUACACUCGCAAGGGUGAAACUCAAAAGAAUUGACGGGGACCCGCACAAGCAGUGGAGCAUGUGGUUUAAUUCGAUGCAACGCGAAGAACCUUACCCGGUCUUGACAUGCAGAGGACAGCUGCAGAAAUGUAGUGUUCUUUAUAGACCUCUGCACAGGUGCUGCAUGGCUGUCGUCAGCUCGUGCCGUGAGGUGUUGGGUUAAGUCCCGCAACGAGCGCAACCCUUAUCGUCAGUUGCCAACAGGUAAUGCUGGGGACUCUGGCGAGACUGCCCGGGUUAACCGGGAGGAAGGUGAGGAUGACGUCAAGUCAGCAUGGCCCUUACGACCGGGGCUACACACGUGCUACAAUGGUCGGUACAGAGGGCAGCGAAGCCGCGAGGUGAAGCAAAUCUCAGAAAGCCGGCCCCAGUUCGGAUUGU
rnacentral:rRNA from 1 species